GCGAGAGUGGCGGAACUGGUAGACGCACUAGACUUAGGAUCUAGCCCGCUCACCGCGGUUGGGGGUUCGAGUCCCCCCUCUCGCA
rnacentral:tRNA from 1 species